rnacentral:SRP_RNA from 1 species
GCCAGGCAUGGUGGCGCAUGCCUGUAAUCCCAGCUACUCGGGAGGCUGAGGCAGGAAAAUUGCUUGAACUCGGGAGGCGGAGAUUACAGUGGGCCGAGAGGCCACUGCACUCCAGCCUGGGCGACAGAGCAAGAUUCUGUCUUGU